rnacentral:rRNA from 1 species
CGCCUCUUGAUUAUUAAUAAGAGGUCCAGCCUGCCCAGUGAUAAUAUUCAACGGCCACGGUACCCUAACCAUGCGAAGGUAGCAUAAUCACUUGUUCUUUAAAUAAGGACUCGUAUCAACGGCACCACGAGGGUUAUACUGUCUCCUCUCCCCAAUCAGUGAAACUGAUCUCCCUGUGAAAAAGCAGGGAUAACAUUAUAAGACGAGAAGACCCCAUGGAGCUUUAAACCCCAAGCAACUUUACUACACAUUUCAUUUUAUUUACUAAAUUAUUGCCUACCGGUUUUAGGUUGGGGCGACCGCGGAGUAAAAAACAACCUCCAUAACGAAAAAACCUUAAUUUUUAUCUAAGAUCUACUACUCAAAGAAUUAGAAAACUAACGUACUAUGACCCGACAACGAUCAACGAACCAAGUUACCCUGGGGAUAACAGCGCAAUCUACUUCAAGAGCUCAUAUCAACAAGUAGGUUUACGACCUCGAUGUUGGAUCAGGGUAUCCCAGUGGUGCAGCCGCUACUAACGGUUCGUUUGUUCAACGAUUAAAACCCU